UAACACCCGAAGCCGGUGGCCUAACCCUUGUGGGGGGAGCCGUCGAAGGUGGGACCAGCGAUUGGGACUAAGUCGUAACAAGGUAGCCGUACCGGAAGGUGCGGCUGGAUCACCUCCUUUCUAAGGAG
rnacentral:rRNA from 1 species